GACGAACGCUGGCGGCGUGCCUAAUACAUGCAAGUUGAGCGCUGAAGGUUGGUACUUGUACCAACUGGAUGAGCAGCGAACGGGUGAGUAACGCGUGGGGAAUCUGCCUUUGAGCGGGGGACAACAUUUGGAAACGAAUGCUAAUACCGCAUAAAAACUUUAAACACAAGUUUUAAGUUUGAAAGAUGCAAUUGCAUCACUCAAAGAUGAUCCCGCGUUGUAUUAGCUAGUUGGUGAGGUAAAGGCUCACCAAGGCGAUGAUACAUAGCCGACCUGAGAGGGUAAUCGGCCACAUUGGGACUGAGACACGGCCCAAACUCCUACGGGAGGCAGCAGUAGGGAAUCUUCGGCAAUGGACGAAAGUCUGACCGAGCAACGCCGCGUGAGUGAAGAAGGUUUUCGGAUCGUAAAACUCUGUUGGUAGAGAAGAACGUUGGUGAGAGUGGAAAGCUCAUCAAGUGACGGUAACUACCCAGAGAGGGACGGCUAACUACGUA
rnacentral:rRNA from 1 species